GUUUUUGCAGACUUCCCAGUUCACAGGAAUUCAGCUGGAGGGAGCGACUGUGAGCCAGGAGUUGCUGGCUUUUGCUCUGCGUGCUGGUGCUGGACAAAGGUGCUGCUGAAAAGAACGUUGCUCCUAAGAGAGAAGCAGCUGAUAAAUAUUUUUCCUUCCCCUGAUUGUGAUCAGAGGCUGACACGUUCUGAACCUACUGGCCCGCUGGCAGCUUUUGUGCUUACCACAGAUCUGUGCUGA
rnacentral:lncRNA from 1 species